rnacentral:rRNA from 1 species
UACGUAGGGUGCGAGCGUUGUCCGGAAUUAUUGGGCGUAAAGAGCUCGUAGGCGGUUUGUCGCGUCUGCUGUGAAAAUCCGGGGCUCAACCCCGGACUUGCAGUGGGUACGGGCAGACUAGAGUGUGGUAGGGGAGACUGGAAUUCCUGGUGUAGCGGUGAAAUGCGCAGAUAUCAGGAGGAACACCGAUGGCGAAGGCAGGUCUCUGGGCCACUACUGACGCUGAGAAGCGAAAGCAUGGGGAGCGAACAGG